rnacentral:rRNA from 1 species
CUUUACUGUAGCCUGGAAUUGGGUUCGGGCUUUGACUGCGCAGGAUAGGUGGGAGACUAUGAAGCUGCCCUUGUGGGGGCAGUGGAGUCAUCAGUGAGAUACCACUCUGUCAAGGCUAGAAUUCUAACCGUCUGCCGUUAUCCGGCGACGGAACAGUAUCAGGUGGGCAGUUUGACUGGGGCGGUCGCCUCCUAAAUGGUAACGGAGGCGCGCAAAGGUUCCCUCAGGCUGGUUGGAAAUCAGCCGAAGAGUGUAAAGGCAGAAGGGAGCUUGACUGCAAGAGCAACAACUCAAGCAGGGACGAAAGUCGGCCUUAGUGAUCCGACGGCGCUGAGUGGAAGGGCCGUCGCUCAACGGAUAAAAGUUA